rnacentral:piRNA from 1 species
UGGUAAACAGCUCGCUUGGGGUUUCCCACC